GCUCCUGUGGCGCAACCGGUCAGCGCGUGGUACUUAUAAGACCGUAACCAGCAGAGUGAUGUCGAGGUUAUGAGUUUGAACCUCAGCUGGAGCA
rnacentral:tRNA from 1 species